UGGGAGUGACGUCAUGGCUACGCUUUGAUCAAAAUAUUUCCUUAACUGCAUAGCACAUAGAGUUUAGAUCUAGAUCUAAUCGAAUUACUUUUAAACGUUCAUUCAAUACAAGUUGACGGAUGCUGGUGUUUGUGUCCAGCUGUGUGUGAUUAGCUCCCUUUGUUCUAUUUGGUGUGAUCUCUCAAGAUGGCCAACUACGUGAAGAUCGACGCCAAGUUUUUUUUCCACGUCUUCCUCGGGUUCAUGCUGACAUCGGUCAUGUUGACCUGUGUGCUCGUUUAUCAGGUCAUUAGAGUACACGAAAAUAACGAGGAACCGAAACAACUAGGGACGCUAGUUGGUCACGUGGGGUACCGAUUCGAGGGGGAAAUAUUUGCUAGAAUGUCGGCUAGGACCAAAGCAAGGGAAUCAGCAGAGAGUUCAUGUAGAGUGAGUCAGAUUGUCUCCAAUGAAACGUGUUUGGGUUUCGUUUGGACGUCGUUUUCUUCGCAGAACAUCACCGGGUUCAUUGUGAAUGUGAGGAAGUCAAAAGACUCACGUGACGCUGGGUUGACGCAUGCGCUGUCGGCUGUCAGGUCAGAGUUCACCCAGUGCGAUUUGUUGCCUUGCACGCCGUACCUUGUCACCUUGACCGGUGUGGGGACGAAUCCCAACCAGACGGCGUCUGAGGUCAUGUGGACAAUGCAUGCUGUGCCGCCAACACCUGAACUUCCUAGACUCCUGGAUGUGACUGAUUCAACCUUGACCCUUCUAUUACCGGAAGUGACGCUGACCGGCGGGCCGCUGACGGCCGUGGAGGUCCGCCUUAACCCAAAUGUCAAGCCCCCUCCGGCCGAAGACCUGUUGAAGGCCGCUGCCCGCAAGGCCUCGUCUCCUCGCUACAAAGUGAGACGGGUCAAGCGAAGUCGGGACCCGCUUGGGCGUGCCGUGGAGGUCCCAUGGGACGUUCUCCGAGACAUGGGCCGGCACUGGGAGGAGUCUCACACAUCACCAAACACAAAUCUCAAAGACUUCUUGCAUCACAAGAAAAUAAAUUCCUCAAUGAUGGAGCUUUCAGGAAAUACCAGCAUCAAUCAGCGUUGGUACGAGAAGCUCACUGGCGACGAACUGUUUGGAGAUUAUAGUUCACUCUACGAUCAGCAAGUUGCAAAAAUUCUGAGUCAGCUGUUUGUAGAUGACAAGGGAGGUUACCUGUUUUCUAAGAUUAUACAGGGAGACAAUUCUAAAUUACUCGCGUCGAUAUUCGCCGAUCUUGAAAAAGAAGAAGGAACGGAAACCGCGGGUAAAAGAAACGAAACAACAACAAAAGAAACAGUGGAGAAUAGGGGUCAAAAUACAAAAACAAGGCACAAAAGAAAUGCGGUCAAGGACAACAUCUACAGCCUUGAGAUAAACAAUGACCUUCAGAUUGACCCUUAUCAAACGGUUCACGUGAUUCGACGUGACAACAAAACUGUUGUGAUCAAGACCGGGUUUGGGUACUUGAUCACUGACCAACAUGGCGUCAGGUACUCGUUCUACAACAGCACCCAGUUGAAGGAGAAUCUGCUACGUCACAUCCGGUUUCAAGAAGUGGAUGAUUUCCUCUACUACUUAAAGAAGUUGCCUGAGAACGCUUCAAUCUACAGCCGUGACGAAGUGAGUGAGUUGUCGAAACGUCUGGACACGGUGAAGGAAAUCAACAAGAAGCGAAGGGAGAGAAUAUUUAAGGACACGUUCGAAGAGUUUAUCUGGCUGUCCGAUCAGAAAUAUCGGGGACAGAUGCCGCAGACGAUGGUGCCAGAGAUGGCCAAGCUUGGGUUCCCGCCAGGCUUCCCCGUGGCCAGAUUUCAAGAUGGCCGCUCACGGAAUGUAACAAUAGGUGGCCGGCAGUCUGACGAUAUCCGGCUGGUUUAUUUACAUUCCGGGAUGCAAUAUGAGGUUGUCUUCGUGGUCCUAAGCACCGUGGCCGGCGUAACGAAGCACUCCUGGGUCAGCUUCAAUGUCACGGUCAAACACAUGACCUACCAGGAUUCGAACCCCAGCCAUUUCAGCUUCGUCGUGGCUUUUAUCGCAGUGGGUUUCCUCUUCUCCCUCGUUGUGAACAUCGUGUUCUGGAAAUUGGAGUGGCCUCGUAGGAAGAUGUACCAUACAUCCCGGCAGACGAUCUGCUAGCUCGCAUCUGAAGGGCAAAGAUAAAAUGUAUUAUACUAUCUGCAAUGUCUCAUGGAGUAUUUCUAUGCUGAAAUGUGUGGUCUAUACUUUUGUAAAAAGUUAGGUUUAGAUUUAUAUAGUCAAAAAACAAAAUGUAUCGCACCAUCUGCUAGGUCUGCGUAUGGCCUAUAAGCUUUUUGUUUUAGGGUUAGUUGUAUAGUGAAGCAAAACCAAACAUUAGUCUACGCUCUAAGUUUACCUUGGUUGUUUAAAAUGUUUUUACGAAGAAACGUAAACACGUACAAAAUAAAAGAACAUUAAAA